rnacentral:lncRNA from 1 species
UUAAAACAAAAAAGUAUAUCUGAACAUAAAGAAACUGUUUGGAUCAAGUCAAUAAUGGUUACCUCUUGGAUCAGUUAUCUUCUUAUGCCCAAAUUCCUCUUAUAGAGACUACUGCCGCAAGUUCUAAUCAUCUCUUAACCUGCACAAUACUAUAACUGAUAUUAGUUACUACACAUUUUACCAAAACAGUAGCAGAAGUUUUAAGGAAGAUAAAUAAACUAUUCUGCAAGCUACGGUUUAUGAUAUAUAAGUGAAAUGAGGUGCAUAUACGUAUGACAUAAAUUGGUGGUUCAUGAUAGUCUUCUCUGCUAUUGUUAUUGUCAAAUACUUUUUAACAUGAUGUUUUCUUUUCACCUCCAGCCAUAAUCUGAUAUCUAUAAUAUUAAGUUGAUAUUUGAAGUAAAUUACAUUAUUUACAUGAAACAAAGUUGAGAGCAAGCAUCAUACCUCAGCUUAGUCAUUGUGGAAAAACAGCAACAACAGUCCCCCAUUCUCUUACUUGUCUCUGCUCCAGACUAAAAAGACCAUUAUAUAUCCCCUUGCUAGUUGCGACAAGACAAAAGUAAAAAUUAUUCUAUUAGAUUAUGCAGGCACUGGGGGAAAAAAAACUAACAGGAAUAAGUAAAUAUGUAAAACAUUCAUCAAAUCGUUUUCAAACCCAAACCUCAUAACUAAAUAAGAACUCGAUUUCUACCCAAAUCAUAAACUACAACACUAACAAAAUCCCUUCAAAAUAGAAACCCGAAUCAGUUCAAAACCAACAUAAACAGAGAAGGAAUAGGAAAUCAAAGCCAAACCCACAACAAAAACAAUAACCCAAACCUCAAGAUAGGUAGCACGCGCUUUGCUGCGGGUUUAGACAUGACUACUAUUACCGAGGUACCAUGGCUGGAAAAGAAGACACACCGAUCAAAAUGGCCAGAUGGCUCCUGGAAAAAGUCUGGAUUCUGAUGUUAGAUUGUUCAUAGGUAGAAAGGCUGUCAGAUUGAUCUUGAUCGGAUAUUGAAGUUCACGGCAUGGGUUUCUUUCUCUCGGAAGCUUCAAGAGAUAACUAAGCGCUAGCGGUGGAAGCUUGAAGAGAGAGACAGAGAGACAGGUCUGAGUUACGACCAAAGGAGAGACACAGAGAUCUUGGGCGAGAAGAAUCUAGAGAGAUUUAGAGAGAAAGAGAGAUAAAUUCUAGGAAUGCAGACAAUUCAAGGACAAAAUCGUCAUUUUACUGUCAUUAGUGAACAGUAACUAUCCUUGACAAAAAAUAGAUAUAUAGUAAAUUAACAACUAUUCAAAAAAAAAAGAGUAUAAUUAACAAGAAAAACGGUGGAAAAGGGAUAUGAAGCUCAUAAGUUCAACAGCUAUUCCUUGCAGCAGCAAAUAAAAUGAAGCUUCAUGCCAGCCCUACUUUGCUUGAGGGUGAGAGGAUAUAAAGUCAACAGCAAGGCCGAUGGAGUUGAUCUUGUCUGCUUCAUUGUCUGGGAUCUCAAACCCAAACUCCUCUUCAAGUGCCAUCACAAUCUCCACAGCAUCUAAACUAUCUAAACCAAGAUCUUUCUGGAAAUGAGUAUCCGGUGUAACCUUGGAAGGAUCGACUUUCUGGAAGUUUAUGGGUAUACCAACAGACUCGAGCCUCUUCGACCCGAUCGACGACCUGUCGACCGGAAACCAUAACCCGGAGAUUCAAGAGUCUUCGUCAGAUCUUAUAACGGCGGCGAGUCGGCGAACGCAACCUUUCGCUUCAUCUUCGCCGGUCUCCGGUCCUUGACGACGAUGGCGGCGGUAGGGACAUAGACCUUGGCCUGGUUCUGGACGGUGACGCGGAGGCCGUUCCAGAGUUCUAGUCCUUGGCGGUCUCCUUGGUGAUGUCUUCUCCGAUCUCCUUGGCGGAGAGAUUGAUGGUACUGAUCUUGCGAACGAGGAGGUGAAGAGAGGCAGAUAGAUAUUUUUACUGUAGUUACUGGGUUUCUUGGAAUUUUUUUGGUCAUAACGACGUUUGCUUUGACUGUUAGAACAUAGUGCACCACGGUACACUGAAUCCUCUCCGUCAAAAUAGAACAGAAAAUGUGUAAGAAGAUUAACUUUUUCAAAAGGAGGCAGCCUGGGGCGCCUUCGAGUUUCUUGGAGCAACUUGGUUUUGAAACUUUUAGGGUUUCAACUUGAUGGCGACAAAACCAUGAGGGUGGAGGCCAAAGCGAACAAUAUGUCGCAAUGUGGGCUUUUCAGUUUUCAAGAAAGUGGAAUUGGUCAGAGUUAGGCCUGGGUAAUUGGAUUGUACCUGGAUUAGGAAUGUGUUAUGUUGCAUAUACUAACUGUGAGAUGGCUGACCCCAUUUCCAAAGGCAAAGGCGAGACAUAGAUAUCAGGUCACCUAGCUUGAGCAUCAGACUGAAUUUAGUUAUUUGGUUUAUGGUUUACGAGGUGUACACCGGUAUACACCAAUGGAGGUCUUAGUGCUAAUCAACUGUUUUAAGGAAAUUAUAAGUUACUAGAUUUUUACUUUUCUUGCUACAUGCUCUCUUAUGAGACUAUUUAUAAACAAUGAAGGUAGUGUUAAUGGUUUCCACUUCUUUUGUUGUAGGUUUUUAAUGAGACUAUUUGUAAACAAUGAAGGUACCGGUUAUGGUGCUUGAAUCAUUUAUAAACAAUAAAAGUACAUACGGUGACAUGUCUUCUAACUAUUGUUAAAGUAUUAAUGUAUUAUUAAAAAAAAGUUUACCAAAAGAUUAAGUUUUUCAUCUCUAUAGACAGAUAGAGAUCCUAAGAAAUUACUUUCUGAUGGAUUUCACUUUGCGAAACAAAACAAGCGACGCCUCCCUCUGGGUUGGAAACUUGGAAUUAAACGUUUCGUGCCAAAACACAAAUGCAAGUACGGUAAGCUAGUUUGACCAAACUUUCAAAAAAGCUGGUUUGACCAAAACACAAUGGUCGGACAAAACAAGGCGGUGUAAAAGCCAAACUGAACCGCUCUCUCACUCAACACAGCAUCAUCUUACGUUUCCACUCACUCUUGUCCUCUCAUGGAUGCAACCAAGGAAGAGUUUCUCAGAGAAUUCGGGGAGGACUACGGAUACCCAAACGGACCCAAAUCCAUCGAUGAAAUCCGAGCAACCGAGUUCAAACGAUUAGAUGGUAAAAAACUUCACCUUUAACUCUCUUAAAAAUCACACCUUUUCUUCUCUGAUUGCUUCCCCCGAAAAUUUGAGCUGGAAAAGUUUCAGUCUUUGGAUUCUAUUGGUUUGGUUUUGAGUUGGGGGAAACUGGGUUUUGGUUAUUGAUGUUGUUGGAUUUGGCACACACUUGGGCAAUGCAGGGAAUGUGUACUUGGAUCAUGCUGGGGCUACUUUGUACUCUGAGUUGCAGCUGGAAGCAAUCUUUAAAGAUUUGAAUGCCAAUGUGUAUGGGAACCCACGUAUCCUAUUGCAUUGAAAGUAUAUGGUUUUUGAUCUGUUAGAUUCUUAACGGGAUUCUGGAAUAGGAUUUGGAAGUAGUGUGUUUUUAUGGUUGGUGUUUGUAUUUAUUGAUCUUGACUCAUGAUUGCUUUCAUCAAGUUCCUUAAUUUGAAUUUAGAUAGUCAAAGUGAUACCAGUUCUGCCACAAGUGACAUUGUGAGGGAAGCUCGCCAACAGGUAUGAUAUGUCAUCUGUUGCUGCUUCUGAUGCUAGGACUUCAAUAUUUGCGAGUAUUCAGGAUAAAUAGUGGACCUAUAGAUUAUGUCUGAAUUGGUAUUUACUAGUAAUGUUCACUCUGAUAAUUUUUUCUUGGUUCUAUGACUUCUAUCUGAAUAAGUUUGAAUUUUAAGUAGUAUGCUAAAUAGCCUCUGGUGUCACACUUGUAUAGGUCCUCGACUACUGCAAAGCAUCCCCGAAAGAAUACAGCUGCAUAUUCACUUCUGGGGCAACAGCUGCCCUGAAGCUAGUAGGGGAGGCCUUUCCUUGGAGCUCUCAGAGCUGUUUUACAUACAUGACAGAGAAUCACAAUAGUGUUCUUGGGAUUAGAGAGUAUCCUACCAUACUUCACUCCAACAUCAUUGUUAUCAUUUAGUAAUCAUUAGCGAAAGUUCUGUUUCAAUUUCUAACUUACCGCCUUUUCAUUUUACUGCAUACUCUACUCAAACUGCCUCUCAUAUUUUGUUUCUGAUGUUUUUGUUUUAUUUUGUUUUAUUGAUAUGAACCUCUCUGAUUGAAGAACACCUAAAUACACUGGUCAGACUAAAAGCAUUGAAUUAACUAUCUCCUUGCGUUCCCAUUGUUGAUAAGCAUCUCACAAAAUAUUGUUGGAUAGAACAAAAUCUUAGGACACACAAACAUACUCUGGAUCCAAGUACUCUGCAGUUGAGUGAAUAUUCUUUAUUCUUCUCGUUCACCUUAAAAGUCAGUGAUUCGUGAUUCCAUAUCUGUGUAACCCUUAAUUACAUUCAGAUAUGCUCUUGGUCAAGGCGCUGCAGCCUUUGCAAUAGAUAUUGAAGAGCAUGUGAAUCAUGGAGUAUCAGGUGGUAAUGUACCAUCCAUGAGGGUCUUGCAUCAUGAAGUACAGCGAAGAAAUAAAGCUAGAUCUAUGGAGAAGGAGCCAAAAGGUAAUUCUGAGUAAAACAUAUGAUAUUUUAUGGAAAAAUUAAGAAGUAAUGUAUCAUUGCAUUUCUUGGCUAUGUAUUAACAAUAUGUAUCUGUGUGCACACUAAUAUCCAUGAGUUCAGUGAGGGGAAAGGUUCAGAGUGUUGGGCUGAUCUAUGGAUUUAUUCUGAGUUAUGAAAUUAUAUUAUUGAAUGUUGAGAAGUCUCUUGGUUCCACUGGUUUCCCCAUGGCAGUUGUCAGGAUUAUUGGUAAAAACUAGAUGCAUCUGAUAAAAUGUUUAUGCUGGGUAAUCAUAAUGAUGGGGUUUAGGGGACUGAAAUGAGGGGAUAGUUAAUGCAUGGUUAAACUCUAGAUUUAUUUAUCCUAUUCUUUAAGGAAGUUCAGUUGUUAAGGAUUUAAGACUAAAUUUAUAUUACAAUGAACAAUCCUUAUGAUAUUUUGAUGUGUUUGUAGGUUAUUUUGUUGUCACUUUCAUUUGUCUGAUUCUGUAAGAUUCAGAUGUUGAGUGUUGAGGAUUUACCAAAUAUAUAUUACAAUGAAUGAACCUUGUGGUAUUUUGAUGUGUUUGUAGGUUAUUUUGUUGUCACUUUCAUUUGUCUGAUUCUGUAAGAUUCAGAUGUUCGAGUGUUGAGGAUUUACCAAAUAUAUAUUACAAUGAAUGAACCUUGUGGUAUUUUGAUGUCUUUUAUCUGUUAUUGCUGUUGCUAGCCUCUUUAUGGCUGCAGGCUGCUGUAGAAAUUGUUGGACUUGAAAAGAAGUUGAUUAAAUUUAAAUUCUACUCAAACUUAUGAAAUUUUGUGAUACUUGAUCAUCUAGCUGAAAGUUGGAUGUUGAUAUUUUACGUUUUGCAGGUGGCUCAUAUAACUUAUUCGCUUUCCCAUCUGAGUGUAAUUUCUCAGGAUUGCGAUUCAACCUUGACUUGGUGAAGAUAAUCAAAGAAGAUCCAAAAACAAUUUUGGAAAGCUCUCCAUUUUGCAAGUAUGACAGUCAUGCUACUGUAUUCCAAAAUAUCCAUGAUUUUGUAGCCACCUGUCUGUUAAAUCCCUCAUCUUUGCUGUUGAUCAAUCUUGAAAUGGCUGUGUUAGGGUCUAUGUACUUGAGUGUGCUUUAUGGUUUAUAUUCAUUUGUCUGGGUAGUAAAGAGGAAUUACAUUUUGAUAACUCUUCAUUUAUUUGAAUAUGCAUUUGAUAUAUUGUUAUUUCUCCUUAUCCAAAAAGUGGCCACUGGAUGGUCUUGAUUGAUGCUGCAAAAGGAUGUGCCACAGAACCACCAGAUCUAUCAUUAUAUCCAGCAGAUUUUGUUGUUAUAUCUUUCUAUAAGGUAUGUAUUGUAGGUUGGACGUUUCCUUUUGGAGUUUGUAUCUAAAUGUAUAUACCUUUCGCACUGAUGCUUUGUUCUCUGCAUGUUUCUUGUUAAGCUAUUUGGUUAUCCAACUGGACUCGGCGCCCUCAUUGCUCGAAAUGGUAAACAAUUAAGUGAUCUUAAACUAUAUGAUGGUGGUGUUUGUGGUUCUCUAUAUUGUUUUAUUAUUGCCUUUGACAUGGUAUUGCCUUCUUAUCACUAGAAUGCUGGUCAGUGUUUAGUCUUUGUAACUCCUUUUAGUCUAGACUGUUGCUACUUGCUAAUUAUAUGGACUAUCAUUAAUAAUUAGGCAUACAGUUAGGUUUGUUGUAAAUGGAGGUGAUACUGUAAAGUUGAAGAUCUACUUUAACUUUUAUUAUUUGAAAUUGUUUGAAGACUGUAUUCCACUAAUCUUACGUCAUUACAAGUAGUUACUUAAACAGGGGUUGUUGCUUCUCUCUAAUUUCAACUAAGUUUCUGCAUUGAUAUCAAAAUAAUGGUCAUGGUUCUCUAAUAUUAUAUUUUACUUUCAAAUUCCACAGAUGCUGCUAGAGUACUGAAGAAAACUUACUUCAGUGGAGGUUCGCAACUAUCUAAUUUGCUAGAGGAAGUUGGUAUAGUUAGGCAGUUGAUAAUUGUAAGAAUGAUACAGGUACUGUUUCUGCCUCGAUUGCUGACAUCGACUUUGUGAAAAGAAGACAAAAUGUGGAAGAGCUGUUUGAGGAUGGCACCAUUUCAUACCUGAGCAUAGCAUCUAUUCAACAUGGGUUUAAAAUUCUGAACUCACUGACUAUAUCUGCUAUAUCUCGGUAGGUAAUAUUUUGCUACUUCUAUAAUUACUUGCGGAUCCCACUUCACGUAGACUUCCAUUUUUGCUCAUACUUUUAUAGAAGGGCGAGAAAAUCUUGUGCAAGAAACCUCUCUUGCCUACUUCUUCAUUUCCAUAUCAUUGCCUAGAGAUAACUUAUAACUAUGCAUGCGCUUGUCACAUCUUAGGCAUACAGCAUCACUUGCCUUGUAUGUAAGGAAGAAGCUCCUGGCUUUGAAACAUGAAAAUGGAGCCAAGGUUUGCACACUUUAUGGCAUGUCAAAGGUACACUUUCUAUUAUAAUGCGUAUAUUAUUUAUUUUGUUUAGUACAUCUGCAACAUUAAUUAAGUGAUUGAAUGCAUCAUCUCGUAGUCAUGACAGUCAACCAAGAGUAGAAUUCCUUAUUCUUUGGUACCAGGAAAGUUUCUCCAGAAAGUCUAGAUAAGUUAAGUCGGUUUGGUCUACAGUUGAAGUUUAACACUAUCAAUUCUUCAGCAGUUAAAAUGUCCUAUCUAAGACUGGAAAAAAAAAAAAUCAUUCCUUAAGUUUUGACAUGACUUUAUUAGGGAAUGCUGAAUAGACCCACAUAAUCUCUUUAUUUUAUGUUUUUCGGUUUGGUUGAUCUGAUAUAUCUGCAACUUCUCUGUAUCAGGCAUUAUGUCAUGGCCUUGGUCCAACAAUCUCAUUCAACUUGAAAAGGAUGAAUGGCACUUGGUACGGAUACCGUGAAGUUGAAAAGCUGGCAUCUUUAUCUGGAAUUCAGUUACGGGUAAAAUUCAAGAGAUGUUCUUUCGGCAUCAUUUUUUCUUUUUAAGAUAUACAUUUGGAUUUCCUGAAAAAUAUGUGGCCUAAAGAAGUGAGGAGAUGGGAUUAAGUUCUUAUGUUCAGUUACGAAUGAUAGGUGACCCUAAUCCACAAAAGUCAUUACAUCUUACAAGAUGACAUUACUUUCCAAUUAAAAUAAUUUAGUUCAGACUUCCCUAAGUUGAUGACCAGUGUUUGUAGCUAGUAAACGACCUCUUCUAAAUUUGUGUGGUAGCAUUAGAAUAAAGCUGGAAGGUGGUGCAUUAAUAAACUAAGCUGUGGAGGGUGGUUAUGUCUUUUGUUUUUUUUUUUUUUUUUUUUUUUUUUUUUUUUGGAAUUGGGUGGUUAUGCUUGUUACAUUAGGCAUUAAGGGAACGUCUGGUAUAGGUAUCGUCAAAUAUCUUGCGCUGGAUACCUUGAGACUUGAAUUCUGGUGGACACCGAUUUAACCGCAGGAGCCAGAACAACAAAUAUCUCGACGUUAUGUGGAACUUUUAUAAUGUAGUGAUGUAAUUCCUUGUUCAUGUGUCCUAUAGAUUAUCAUUCAUCUGCUACUGACCGUAUGAAAGCAUCUUUGCAGUUCCUUGGUGUCACAAGCUCACUAAUAUAGAAUUGUAGCUUAAAUACUAUUCAACAUCAUUCUUCUGUUUUAUACACGCACAUUAAGUAUUGUUAUUUCACAUUUGCAUGCAUCUCCUAGAUAUAUCUGAUAAAGAAUCUGGUUGAAGGAGAGGGUUAUUAAUGGAAGUUUUCUUUUGGUCACUUGUUUUCAUUGUAGACAGGAUGCUUUUGCAAUCCCGGUGCAUGUGCGAAAUACCUAGGCUUGUCUCACCUGGAACUUCUCUCAAACAUUGAGGUCCUACUUACUGUUCAAUUAGUCAAUGACUUCUAUACAAUUUGUUUGGUCCACUAGAUGGAACGUAUCUGUUGGGAUUCUGCUGAGAUUAUGAAUUAUUCUUAUCAGGCUGGCCAUGUUUGCUGGGAUGACAAUGACAUUAUUCAUGGAAAACCUACCGGAGCUGUGAGAGUAUCCUUUGGUUAUAUGUCAACAUUUGAAGAUGCAAAGGUACAUUCUAAGCCGCAGUGAAAAACAGAGUUCACAAAUAUUAGUAUAUAGUGAUACUGCAUGUCUUUCCAAUCUCAUGAACAAGCUACUGUGAAAACCUCACCACAAAAUGUUUAUUUUUGGUAAAUUCCAAAAUUGUCUGUCAUAUUCGAUGUGUAUAUGGAGAUGUAAUAUUGUCAUACACAUAGCAAAAGAGAGAAGAAAAGAAAAAAUAAAAUAAACUGACCCUUUGGUGCUAGUCCUCUAAUUUUCUUUUCUUUGUUUUCAUGAUAUGCAGAAAUUUAUUGAUUUUGUGACAAGUUCCUUUGUAGCAUUAUCACAUGGGACUGGAAAUGGGUAUCAAAUAAAGCAAGGUUCAUCCCCUUUCUGAAUAAGGUUACUGUAUAUGUUGCUUUAUACUUUGGUGUGAUAUGGUUUAUAUGACUGAAUUGCCUACCAUGAUGUCUUGUGAAAUCAAAUUUUUGAGCUCUCCCUCUAUUUGUUUGCAUAAAUGGUACUAUGUGUAACCACAUAGAUACGACAGAGAUAAAAGAGGGAAUAGUUUGCUAUAACCGUAAAAGAAUACUUUGCUCUGAACUUUUCUCUUCCUGUGUACAUGGAUUGUGGACUCCCAGGCACUUUUCAGGAAAUCUUAUUUUGUUCAAUCUUGAUAAAUUGUAGGUCCUGAAAGCAGAUUAGCAGCAGGAAGUUUCUGUUUGAAAUCUGUUACUAUCUACCCAAUAAAAUCAUGUGCAGGAUUCAAUGUGGAAAGUUGGCCUCUGAACAGUUCUGGUUGUCUUUUACUGUCCCAGAUGGCGUGCACCUUUUUUUACGUUUCCUUUGAUUAAUAGCAUCAAGGGCCAUUCCUUAAUAUUAUUUUAAUUCAAUUAACUUUCCUACGGCAUCUAGAGAUGCUUCUUGAAAUAAGGCACAAGCUUGCCUAGCCAGUUGAUUUUUUUGGAAUGUGUUUUGGAACAGGAUUUUGAAUUUGAUCUUUUCUAUGAUUUGAGUAGGUCUGCGUCAUGAUCGGGAAUGGGUUCUUACAAGCCUAAGUGGUGAAAUCCUUACACAAAAGAAGGUGAACUACCAAUUUAGUAGUUUACUGAUGCAGGAGUAGAAUGACACACACACACACACACACACACGGACUGAUGGACCAAUGAAGACACUAUGGUGGUAGAUCCACUUAUUUCCAUGUCAGUCUUCAUGUCCAGCUAUUGAAAUGCAAGCUAGUUAUAAAGCUACCAGGUUCACUGAUUUUGUCCGUUGUAGGGAAAACUGAAUUGGAGAUGGAUGUAAAUUUUGGUUUUGAUGGGAUAGUCCACUUUGUUAUUUAGAUCAUUCUUGUGGGUCCAGGUCAAUUAUUGUAAUUGUGGUGCGAAAUGAUUAUUAUUGAAGUUUUAAACUCUUCUGAAUUUCGUUUUGUAGGUCCCUGAAAUGUGCUUCAUAAGUACUUUUAUUGACCUCAAUAAGGGAAUAUUGUUUGUAGAGUCACCCCGAUGCCAAGUGAGACUACCCAUCAACUUUAUGUCAAACUCAUUUAAUGGUGGGAGAGAAGAGAUUACUUUACAUGGCCAAAGGUAAAUUAUAAAAACUCGGUUUCUUUAAUUGCUUGUCAUUCAGUUUUCUUUUUAUUACUCUUUAUUUCUAAGAAUGUGGCAUUGUUUAUGAUAUGUCGUGUGGACCUAAAGACUUGGAGGAGGGAUAUAGAAUGGUUAAUAUCAAAAUACAUGGUCUGCAAAGGUUUAAGUCACAGACUCACAGAUACCAUUGGAAAAUCAUUGUACAGAUAUUAAUAGCGACAACUAUGAUGAUAUAAUGGAGAGAGAUAAAAAAUAACCACAGCUUACUGGAGACAGAUUGAUGUAGGUAUAAGUAUGUUUUGUGGCUUGAAAUCAGCAGUGACUCGAAAAAAAAUUCUAGGUUAAUUCUGUUUGACGUCUUCCUUUUUGUUGAGAGGGAUAUUGCAUAGUUUUGCAUUAAUAGCAAACUUCAUGAUCUGCUGUACUGGACAAAAUAAGUUUAAUAAGUUCUGUUGAGGUUUGCAUGCAUUCUAGUUACGGAGUUGUGUAGACCAUUUCCUUUUUGUUGUUAUUCUGUAUAUUGUAUUAUUGUACAAUAGUUACAUAGAUGUCAUGGUUAUAUUGUAUUUUUUUUUUUUGGCUUAGAUAUGAAGUACAGGCUUACGAAAAGGAAAUCAACGUAUGGUUUAGCAAUGCCAUUGGUCGUCCAUGCACAUUAUUACGGUGUUUUAGCUCAAAAUACAAUCUUGGCUUGAAUAAGAGCAAAAGUACGGACAUAUGCAGAAGGAUGGAGAGCAUGUUGAAUUUUUCUAAUGAAGCUCAGUUCUUAUUAAUAUCGGAGGAAAGCGUGUCUGACCUCGACAGCAGACUAAAAACAAGUAUGCAUUCUAUUGUACUGUUCAGUCACAUAACUAGUAUAGCACUCCUGAUGCGGAACUGAACCUUUUUGAGUUGAUGAUGCUGGGUCAUCUCCUAUUGUGAAUGCAAAUGCAAUACGUGUCCCUUGAAAUCCUAGAGAAGUUGCAUGUUUCCUUUUUUGUUUCUUUUCCUUCCUCCUUGAUUAUAAUCUUUUCAUCUCUGAUUAUAAUCAAACCUCAUAGUCUGUUAAUCCCUUUCAAUACAUUGUGAAUGUAUGUCGACAGGUGUUGAGCACUUUGUGGUUAAGACCUGAAUCCCACCUAAUGGUAGUUAGCUGAAGCCAUUCUUAUCUAACCAAGUCUCAAAUCACCUACAUGUAUCAGAGUUUUCCAAUAAAAAUAAAAAUAAAAAUAGAUAUGAGGAACAAUUGAUGCCUUCUCUUUUCAACUGAGUUGUCAUUUGCGGUAUAAGAAUCUUUUUGCCCUGAUAUCUAUGGAUUGAAAGUCUAUGUAACUCGAUAGUUAUUGCAGAUGUACAAAAGGCUGCUCAAGAAACAGGAGGCCAAAUCAAUCCAAUGAGAUUUCGGCCCAACCUCGUUGUAUCUGGUGGUGAACCAUAUGCCGAAGAUGGAUGGAGAAACCUUAAAAUUGGGAAUAUGUAUUUCACAGUAAGUUCAUGAACUGAAAUAAAGACACUGAUUACUUUUACCAAUGACUGCCUAAUUGUUGCGGACUCUAGCAGAGAUGUUGGAUAAUGAUGGUGUGAGUUUGUAGUUAUUUGGCAUGCAAGGGUUCAUGGCGGAUAGUAUGCUUAAUUAAGUUCUUGAGCUUUUAUAGCCAAUGAUAGAGUUUAUACUUAUGUUUUCUAUAUGCUCUCGUGUUGUGCCUUUCUUGAUUUCGGAGGCAAAUUUUUUUUUUCCUAGUCUUUGGGUGGAUGCAACCGUUGUCAGAUGAUUAACAUUGUUCAUGAAGCUGGACAAGUGCGGAAGUCGAAUGAACCUUUGUCAACUCUAGCAUCAUAUAGGAGAGACAAGGUAUGCCAUGAAAGUUAUAUAAAGCUGAUGUUAUUCUAAUUAACUUCAUUGUUAUCAGCAAGAAUUAUAUAUAUUAACUUUCUGAUAAAUGCAGGGAAAGAUCUUGUUUGGGAUACUGCUGAAAUACGAAAAAAGCAUUGGAGGGUGGGAUGGUGACGAGAAAGAUGAUGAUGAUUUGUGGCUUCGAGUAGGACAAGAUGUACAUCCAAAUAUAGUUUAGCGUCAAAACUCAAAACAUGUCAGUGGAGCAGCCAAUCUAAAACGCAUGUUAUCAUCGUUGGUACGUGUAGAAGGAUUUGGCAUGGUCUACAGUGGACAGUGUUAUAGAGCUUUAAUGCUCACCGCCCUAUGUGGAUUCCAAUUUCUCAGCCAGGGGUGUCUUUUUUCCCUUGGGAAAAGUAUACUUGGCCCGUUUUCAACAAAAGAAAAGAACACUUAGCGCACCAUAUAAACAAUUUUCCUUGGUACUAAUUGUACUUUAACGAUGUCUAAAUCACAUGCAUUCAGAAAUCAGAACUAGCUUCUGGAUAUCGAUGUAUGCCGGUGUUUAUAGAUGUUUCAGUGGACCUGAAACUUUUUGUUCAAGUCUUCAUACUUUACUGCAUGGUCUACAGUUCUAUAGGAGAGUGAAAGCCUAAUCUAAAACCUACAGGCAUGUGUUGUUAUAUCAAAGCAGCCGAAGACUGACCAAAAUGAAGGGUUUGAGCUUUUGAUCAUGACCAAAGGCCAAAGCUGAAGCCUGUGUUGCUAGCUAGGUGACCAACUUGUAGUUGGUAAUAAUUGAUCAACUGGCACAAAAAGUUCAUAUCUGUCCCUUAUAAGUUGGCCCGACAUGGAAAAUUUUAUGCAUUUUUCAAACCAGGAUUGAUUAAACUCAAUAAUCCAUCUCUGGCUGUUUGACACUGCAACCCCGUAAGUAGGGUUGGUUAUCUCUACUUGAUAGUUAUACUCCAACCAACUGGGUUGCUUGACUUGCUUCUGUGACUCUCUGUGUUUUGUCUAAGACUUGUUCGUAUUGUUGUAUUCCUCCUGGGCUCCUGGCUGCUGUCUAUUCUUCAUUGUUAAUAAUUCAGCUGCUUCUGUGGUCUCUGUUGAUGCUGCACUUAUGGUAGUCAAUAAUUUUGUGUUGAUAUUGUGUCCUUAAUUGAACACAAGUGGGGGAGGCCGUCAUGACCCUUUGAUGAUGUAUUUUGCAGUCUUCCCUGCAUUGUCAUGUACGGAUGGCAAUGUAUCAAGUUGGGGAUGAAGAUCACAAUUUGAGAAUGAAAAUUCGUUGUUGUGCCGCCUCGUGUUACUAGCUUUAGAGUUAAUUGAGAAAUAGUGUGGUACAGACUCGACAUAAAUUUGUGUGGAAUGCAUAUUGUCAAACUUACUGUAACAACGAUAUAUCACAAAAAGUGAUGAUGAUAAAAUUAAUUUAGUUGUAAAAUUGUGUUGGGAUCCAUGUAUCAGGGAUUAUGAGAUUCAAGGGCAAAUUUACCAUCCUUGACGGGGUCCAAUGUCAAAUGUCAAAUUUACUGUAACAACGAUAUAUUACAGUGAUAAUGAUCAAAUUAAUUGAGUUGUAAUUCUGACUUGGGAUUGAUGAAUCACGGAUUAUAAGAUUCAACCAUCACCCUUGAUGAUUUAGAGUUUUAUAAUAAUCAACAUUGUUCUUCAAAUGUGAACUCUCCAAAUCAUGUUAAUCUCAACAGAGCAGAACUAGGAUUUACAACUUGUAAAAUCAACAUUUUUCUUCCAAAUGAUGAUUUUGAAAAAUGUUGUGUAACUCAGUGAGAGUGAGUGUGUGUGUGUAUAUAUAUAUACAUAUUUUGAAAGAAAUAAAAAUAUAUAUCAUUAUGAUUUUAUCAACAAAAAAUAAAAAAUAGAAUCUAGCUGAUAACUGUUUGAUCCAUUCCUGGUCGGGAGGAAUCCAAAUUAAUCAUCCAAUUAAUAUGCUUCCUUGCUUCCCACAGCUGGCAUGGUGGCUGUUAAUAAAUAGAUGUAUUCAUCCUAAUCCUAUAAUAUGUGCGUGCUUCUAGAUAUAUUCUUCCUUAGAGAAAUGAAAUGCAAGUGUGUGUGUCUAUAUAUAUAUAUAUAUAUAUAUAUAUAUANNNNNNNNNNNNNNNNNNNNUGAGGUUGGAUGGCUGAGAUUAAACAAAAGUUACACACUUUAUAUCAAACCUGGACCGUUCAAGAUCAUUAAAAAUAAAUCGAAGUUUUGAAUGGGUUAACGAUCACUAAAUUAUCUGAAAAUUUGUAGAAAUGAUCUACUCAUAUAACCCAAUGAAUUGAACGGUGUAGAUGCAAAAAUUUGAUCGGGAAAUUAGUGUAAUGCCAUAUCCCUAGAAAUGGCUAAAAAUAGGGAUCCCUCAAUGGAAGGGCCCUCUAUAUAUAUAUAUAUAUAU